rnacentral:rRNA from 1 species
UACGGAGGGAGCUCGCGUUGUUCGGAAUUACUGGGCGUAAAGCGCACGUAGGCGGCUUUGUAAGUUAGAGGUGAAAGCCCGGGGCUCAACCCCGGAAUUGCCUUUAAGACUGCAUCGCUUGAAUCCAGGAGAGGUGAGUGGAAUUCCGAGUGUAGAGGUGAAAUUCGUAGAUAUUCGGAAGAACACCAGUGGCGAAGGCGGCUCACUGGACUGGUAUUGACGCUGAGGUGCGAAAGCGUGGGGAGCAAACAGG